rnacentral:lncRNA from 1 species
GGGUCUUAACGUAAGAACAGAUCUGCAGGAAGGCAGCUGUGCAUUUGAGGGCUGCAAAUUUCUUGAGCUCUUUGCUGUGAGAGCUACAUUGCAUUGACUAUGGUCCGCUCAGUGGCUGUCCGCCUUCGGAGGCCUCUUCCUUCCCAGUUGUGCUGUGUUAUUGCAGAAGCGGCUUUCAUUUGCUUCAGUCUGCAUGCGCGCCUGAACGUGAAGAAAUUAAAAAGGCUCUUCUCACGCAAAGUGGGAGACUAACAAAGGAAUCAGCCCUGGCCAUAUUGUCUCUGGGAGCUGCUCCUUGGAUAUUAGACCUCAGAUUUUACAGCCACUGCAUACUGCCCCUUGCUGUGCUUGAAACAGACAGGUCAGGAUACAAAAGCAAAAGGAAGUAGCCCAAGUGAAUGACGUGGACUGAGUGAGGUUCCAACAAAGCUAUGGAGCCCAGAUGGGACAGGGUAGAUGUGGGGCGAAGGGUAUGAUAGGAACAGAGUUGUGGGGGAUAUCACAGAGAAGAAUUUAAAGCUAGCAGUAGCUUCUCCAAACAAAUGAGGAUAUUUCUUAAUGCAAGAAAUUUUGCAAAGACGGGGUUAGACUAUUCCUGCUUUUGUAAAUUUGGAGUUAGCCAUGAUAAUAUAAAUGCACUCUAAUUUCCAUUAUUCACUUAAGAUUUUAAAAUGUUACAUUUUAUCAGCAUACAAUAGUUUGAUUUUAGGUAAUUCAAGAAUGAAAUAAAUUCAACAUUUUAAAU